rnacentral:rRNA from 1 species
CCAUAGAUGUUCUGGGCCGCACGCGCGCUACACUGACGGAGCCAGCGAGUACUUCCUUGUCCGAAAGGUCCGGGUAAUCUUGUUAAACUCCGUCGUGCUGGGGAUAGAGCAUUGCAAUUAUUGCUCUUCAACGAGGAAUCCCUAGUAAGCGCAAGUCAUCAGCUUGCGUUGAUUACGUCCCUGCCCUUUGUACACACCGCCCGUCGCUACUACCGAUUGAAUGGCUCAGUGAGGCGUCCGGACUGGCCCAGGGAGGUGGGCAACUACCACCCAGGGCCGGAAAGUUCUCCAAACUCGGUCAUUUAGAGGAAGUAAAAGUCGUAACAAGGUCUCCGUAGGUGAACCUGCGGAGA